rnacentral:lncRNA from 1 species
CAUGACUGCAGGUGAGCACGAGCCUGCCUCGCUGCAGCUUUCUUCCUGGUCUCAAUCCUUCUGGAACAGAGGUUCUUGCCCUGUCCUCCUAUCGCUGUGGUCUUAGACCUGCAGGCUCUCGAGAGGGCUCCUUUUAUACAUCUGCUGUUUACCUCCCAUGGAUGCUUGGAGCUCCAUUGGUCACUUGCCCCAUCCCUGCUGGAGAGGCUGAAAAAGUCCUCCCUACUCACUGGAUGUGAGUCCUGCAUGUCCCAUUGUAAACUGUCCCUCUGCCUCAAAUGUCAACAGCAACAUUGAAACAACAGU